GUGGGUGUGUAUUAGCUGCAGCCUGGGGGCUCCUGGGGUCAGGACCACCACUCUGGGCCUCUUGGGUUCAUGUGUUUUAAUUGAUAGUGGCCACAAUUAAUUAUUUUAGUCUCCUGCAUUACCUUUAGUUUGGCACUGAAGUGAGGACAAGAAGCAACAUGUGUUAAAACCAGCAGAAAACAGCCAUUGUUUGGGUUGUGAGAUCUUGCAGGGUGCAGGGGCAAACAGGGAAAUGCUGAAUAAAUGCAUCUUAGUGCAAUAACAUUUGAUGCUCCUUAGAAUGAAAUAUUUGAAGAGCAGCAAUGCAUGGGAAGAGAGGCAUCAGCUUUUAAAAGACAUCCAAGAACUGAAAAGGGCUAUUAUGAAUGCUAGAAGUUUCUACUGAGUUCAGUGGGACCAACUUCCUUAUUAUCAGUGCUUUAUGUAUGUGCAUGUUUUGUUAUCCACAAAUUCUCUCCUACAAAUUUAGUUAUUUCAUCAGUGGUGCCCUCUGCUGGCAAUAGAGUUGAACACAGGUGGUCCCUGUUGUUUCUCACUUUGUUGGCUUAAGUUUUCCCAUGAAAUACCAUUAUAUAUAUAUAUGAUUUAUUUUACAAAUGUUAAUUUCAUUUCAUUUUAAUAAUGAAAGUCCAUAGUAUUUUAAAUUGUUCUUGCAUUCAUUGUCAAAUGGCUUUGUUGGUCUUCCUAUGUAAAUAGAGUGAUUCUUCCUGGCACCUUAAUGCAAUAACUUAUUUAGCUGUAUCACUUAGUAUGAGUGCACAAAUAUCAUGCAAAUAUUGCAGCUGUAUUCCACAAUGCAAGUAGCAUAGUAUCAAUAUACAUAUAACGAUACAAAUGACUGACAAUCAGAUAAAAAGGAAAAAAAGUAGCAUUUUCUGUACAAAAAUAUGCAGCUCUUUAUAAUUUGAAAAAUGCAUUAUCUUUUGGCACUUCCAAAAAGAACACUGUAUAAAAAUAAAUAUUCUAUGCACAAACACACAUACACACACAGGCCAGUCCAUGGUUAGAAUCUUCACUGCAAAAGAAAAAUAUAAAACUAUGUUAAUAUCACACAUAAUAAUUUUGAAAGGGAUUUUCUGUUGAGAAGAAGUGCUGUGAAGGUAUACUGUUAUGUGAGUAUGAUCCAAGGGAAAUAAUCUAAGCAUGUAAUCAAAGCUAAGCAUGUUGAAGUCCUAUUGAUGUAAAAGAGAGAGAUUUUGCAUGUUUCAUCAGUAUGAAAAUGUCUAGCUUUGUUGACAGGCAUUUUUCUUAGGAACUGAAGUCCUGGGGAAAUCACCUGUUCAUUUUGCAUUCUCCAGUAAUUGACUAGGAGAAAUUUGUAACCCAUCUGGUCCUAUUCCCUCUAUAUUCACAGUCUGCACUUUGGAGUUCAAAAUGCUUCACUGGAAUUCCACUUUAAUCAGUGGCAGUCUUAUGAUCUGCAGAGCUUUUAAGCUUUCUGCUUUGCUUGCUGGGCAAGGCCCACUCAGCAUGCUAGCUCUGGAAGGUUAGGGAUGCUCACACGACAUCUCACAGGAACUUGGACAGCCCUGUGAGAUCUUGCAAGAGCAUCCCAGCACUGGUGUGCUGAGAGGGCAUGGCCCACACAAGAAAGGCAGAGAACUUAAAAGCUCUUUUUGCACUGGGAAAACCUGGCACAAAAAAGCUGCUAAGCUCUCUGCCUUGCUUGCAUUUAACUUGUGGAAUUUCAACCAGCUGGCCUUCAACCUCUUAGGGUUGAAACUACACAAGUUAAAUGCAUGUAAAAUGUAAUCAUACUGUACGAGACAUCUUGUGAGAGGUUAAUCACAGCAUGAACUUUAUGGAGAGAUACUUUAUUACAAUGGAUGCACCAGGACAUCUUAAUGCUGGAUUCAGCCAUAUAGCAUACUUUUGAAUGCAUAAAGGUUCACAAAUACUUUUACACAGAGAGUCCAAUAGAUAUGUAACCUCUGUACAAAUUACAGAUUUAAACCAAGUGGUUUAAAUCCUAAUUUUAAAAGUUUUGGGUGUUUUGGAUGUUUAAUUAUGAAAGUCUCUGUUUGAAUAACAGAAGUGAGUUGUUAAAUAAGUCUAACAUUCUCAUGAAUGUCAAAUUCUGACUUCUAAGGACCAAACUAUAUAUGUCAUCAAACACAUCAUUAGUAAGCAGGUAUGUGGGUUAAAAGAAAAAGAAUAGCGAACUUGGGGUGAUUUUUGUCAGGACCGAAGUACAUGGUGAUAGAAGGUUUAACUCUUUCCUCUAUCAUGCCCCCCCAAAAGAUAAUCCCUUCCAGCUGUUUUUGACCCCAGAAGGAAAGUUCUCUUUGCAGCACUACCCUCAUGUGCCUGCUCUGCAUUAAAAGAGAGACUGCAUACAGAGAUGUUUGCUAAUGAUGUGUUUAGCGUCAUGUCUACUUAGGCUCUUAAAAUAUUGGCAUACAGUUUAUAAUUUUAGGCUUUUGAUAUGAUUAUAUUAUGUAUACCCCACUCUGGGCGGCUUACAGCAUGGUGAAUUGCUAAUGUGUUUGGUUUGGUCUGAGUUAUAAAAGAUACAUUACCCAUGCAUUCAUCUUAUUUUCAUAUAUUUGAACAAUAACAUAGUACCUAUAAUAUAGAAGUUUUUGAAUUGGGACAGAAGUGUGCUAUGGCCAACCCGUCAUGCUUUUCUGUUAUAGUUACACCAUGCAGAAGCAGCACAUAUCACAAUCAUGCCAUUACCUUAUUCCAGCAUCCUUGAACUGGCAAGCCAUCUUCCCCCUAUAACAAAGAAUGAUUUAAGGAGUUCAAGACAGCAGAAGACUAAAAUAAAUCAGGAGAGGAAAUAAAUAAUAUAGCUGCAGAAAAUAUUCAAAAUUUAAAAUCUGUUUAGAUGAGAUAUCCCAAUGUAAUACACCUUGCUUAGCCAUAGAUUGAAUAAACAUGUUUGGUACAAGAGGGCUGCCUCUGCAUAUAAUAGAAGGCCCACAUGUUCCAAAUCAGAAUCUUGCAACCAAAUUCAUGUUGGACCUUUCCAUACAAUCAGUUUACUGUCCAAUAAGUGCGGAUUCCAGAUCCAUUAAAACCUAUGGAAGUUUUGUCACUGAUUUCUGUGGCUCAUAAAUUACUUUCUAAAUGUACAGCUACUACUGACUGGUUUAGCCUCCAGAAGCCUCUCCUCUCGGUAGGCUAUGGUGGGGACAUAGCAUUUACCCAGUCCUUAAACUACAAUGUUUUGAUGUUUUGUUUAGUGCUUUGCAGGCUGUGUGUGCAUCUAUUAUUUAAAAUAUCUGUAAGCACAAAUAGAAUAAUUUUCUAAGGCUAUACUUACCAAGCCAUGAAUAUAUGAGGGGAGCCAGUUUAAAGAAAAGUCCCAGUGUGUUCCCUAAUACUGUCAAGUGUGUGCAGCAAGCUGUAUUCCUGUCACCCAGAUUUCUAAUUGGAUUACCCAUUAGUCAUUCCAGUAUUUUAACGUGUGUGUUUGAUAUAUAUAUACAUAUACAUUUAUACAUACACACAAACCUAUUAAAACAAAGAGCUGGUCAGACUUGUGGAUUGAUCAAACUUCAGGCAGAAUUAUGACUGGUUUGUUCCUCUGACAACUAAUAUGCUUUCUAAAUAGAGAUUUCUCAUGCGAAAUAAUACCUUUUUUAUUAUGGCAAUCUUGAAAUAUAGUGGCAAGAAGUAUGAUAAAUUAAUGAUCAUUUGACACUGAAAUAACCACAUGUUUUCUAAACCUAUUAUCCUUAAUGCAGACACUCUCCUGACAGUACAUCUUUCCGCUGGUACAUACAACUGCAAAAUGCAACAACUGAAGAGCCAUAAACAAUGAAUGAAGAAGUUCCCAUUGGUACAAUGGUCCCAUUGGCAGGAAUGAAUUGUAUAAUGCAUGUAAAAUCCAAAGUUAGGGAACAGGAGUUACAAUUGAGGGGAUCAACAGAAGGAUGUGGUCAUAACAGUGUGUUUGUUUUGCAGAGGCUGGGAGGCAGAAGGAAGCAUAUUUAUUAGUAAAGAGCAGAAAUUAGGCAUAUCACACUUGAAAAGCAUGGACUUCAUACAUGCUCUUAGAAUACAGAGCAGUCCAGGAACUAUGGCAGCAGAGUGACAAGUUAAAAAAUCAGUCUGUUUUCCACUGGGUGUCAUAAACUGAGUACCCUGCAACACAAUCAGCUGCAACAUCUUUCUGAGACAACAUUUGCUCAUCUCCACAGUGGGUGAAGGAAGAAGGCACUUUUAGAUUUCACUUUUACUCAGGCCCCCUUCACACAUGCACAUUCACUUGAUGAUUGUAAUGUAAAGUGAUGACCUUUACAAACAAACCCUGUAGAUGAGAUCACACUGUUUUCACAUUGCCUCAUAACACAUUUCAUUUGAGAUAGUUAAUUCAGCAGCAAGUCAUCAAGUGAACAAGUGAACACACAUGUAUGAAUUGGCCUUGAGUCUAUGGAAGAAGCUGUAACUGAAUCUAGAAGUUUUUAAGUGGUAUUGCUUUUUCAACUGGGCAAGUUUUACAUGGCCAGGGCUUGCUCUGGCUUCCUUUUUCACUUCAGUAGGCAUGGCAGAGCUCCCCUCUUUUUUUUAAAGAAAUCAAUUCAAGACGUUAAUGCAUUGUGGUGUCAUUGCCUCUUGUCCUUCUUUCUUCCCCAGUGGCUUAAAAUAUAAAACAAUGUGCCUUAUAAAACACAACAUACCAAUGGGCAGGGUGCAUCUAAUCCAGGUGCUCCUUGGUCUCCCUUAUCCCCUUUAGGCCCCCUAGAGCCUUUCUUGCCCCUUUCCCCCUGUGAAUAAUAGUUUAUUAAAAAAGAUACAUAAAAAAUUUAGGAUUAUCCAUUUCAAGUCAGUGUCUCAUAAAAACAAAAUGCUGUAAUGUAAAAACAAUUUACUUCAAAAGCUUAAUUUUCUUUUUCAUUUAACAUUCUUCAUGAUUAUUAUUUUUUUGGCUGGCUUUGGCAUUUUAUGUUUAAAUAUGUGUAUUUUGUAUGAUUAAAACCUCAAAUCUAAACAAUAGCAAGGUGUUUGUCUUUCAUUUUCAUGCAGUGGCUCUGCUUUAUACAUACAGUUAUAUAGUUAUAUAGAUAUUACUUUUCCUGGCAGUGUUUGUAUUGUUUUGUCAUGGCCUUUGGCUGGUACAAUAAAGCUUAUUUUGAUUGACUGACUGACUGACUGAUUGAUUAAUUGAUUGAUUAAAUAAUCACAGUGUUCCUCCUGAAAUGUUUUAGAAUAAUUAGCAUUAAGAACAAUGGCUCCUCACAUUUGCUCAGAAGUAAUCCCAUUGAGCUCAGUGGGGAAUUCUGAUCCACAAUAUCCAAGCGGACAAUAAAAGUAAAAUGAGUGGUGGGGAUCAUUACACUUCUUUUCCAAUGACUAACUUUGAAAAAAAACCAAAUAAUCUAGCUUAAGUUCUGUAUUAUUUUUAAAAAUAAACCUAGGAAGACACACUUCUGUUUAAAAAUCGCGUAUUAAUCAGCUGGCUCCACCAUGUUUUUUUAUUUAACAGGAGAGGCAACAUUGGCAAAUUCUUGUAAAAAUGCUCUGUUCUACUUAAGUUCUUAAAAUAGACCCUCAAAGGGAUAAAAAUGGAAACCAUUGGCCUCAUGCUACCUCUCUGAACAAUGGUGCAAAGUCACCUUGAAUGAAAAAUGCCAACAUCAAGCCAGGGACCAAUAGUCAGAAAGACAACAUAAUUAUGAAAUCUUUCCAAGCCAAUUUACAAAAAUCAGCAACAUACAAAAGAGGGAAACAUUUUGAUAAGUGCUUGUGGAUGUAGGAUGUAAGUGGGAUUGCUGCAGAGGGAAUUUCAUUUAGUAACUGGUAUAAGGAUUAGGUGGCGCAAGGAGACGACAUAAAAUCAGGCAGAGUGGGUAUAUUUUUUUAAGGGAAAUAAAUGGGUUUUUUUUUUUAAUAAAACAAAAAUAAACUGGCAGGAAAAAUGGAUGGGAAAGGAGAGGUCACCCAGGAUCAAACGUUGGCUUAGAGGGAGGAUAAUCCAGGAGAAAAUGCAGACUGGGUUGCGGCAGGAAGAGAAGGAAGGAUCCGGGAGAAAAGGCAGAAGAGCAGGAAGGGAUAAGGGGGACAAAGGUAGACCUGUAGAAGCAAGGAACACACACACGCAAACCACACAAAGACAGGAGAAGAAGAAAAAAACAGUUGAAAUAACAAAUUCAAGUUUAAUGCACAGAAUAAGCAUUGGCACCUUUUCAGCUGGUUUGUCCAAAUGAGCAUACUCCAUUCCCAUGAUCUGUUAUAAUAUUGCAUUUAUUUCUAUUUUCUUGACUGCUCUUUCUGGGAGAUAAACCCCUAUGGUAUCACACAAGAGCCAAUGGGACUGAUUAGCAGAAAAGAAGGACCAAGCUGCAUGGGAUGGUGGCAGCAUGAGAUUCAUGGGUCAGAAUCAGGCCUGCCACUGGAUCCUUAUAAAACAGAACUUGGGGUGAGAUUUAAAAGCACAUUAGGGGCAGGCAGGAGCACCUCCUGUUCUCUGUACUUCUCCCUACGCAAAUUAUGUCUUCUUAGCUCUUUUUCAGCCAGGAGGAAUCCUAGGCUGGAAGUAAUCCUGCUAGGAUAAAAGCAGCUGGAAAGAAGCAGGUGGGGUGGGAGGGGCAGGGUAAGGGGUCAGCAGUCUCCUGCCCUCUCCUCCUGAGCUUUAAAUCAGCCCUUUCCCCGCUUUGUCAACAUACAGCAUAAUGCAACCAAUAUUGGGUUGUGCUACCAUCAAAUCUAGUUUGGAAAGAUAAUUUCCACAACUGCUGCACAGAGUAUCCCGUUGCCAAAUCAUGCUGCAAGUUAAAUAACAGGCUGCCCUUGACUGUUUUACAUCCAUAGCACCACACAUUUCAUACCCGACUCAAGAAAUGUUUCCAAAACAUCAAUUAGUCAUAAAGUGUCUGCUAAUGAUAUAUGGAAGGACUCUUCAUUUCUUAAUGACUAAAUGGAUACUUGUGCAGGAUUUGUGUGUGCACAGUUGCUGCUCACUCUAACUCAUCCCCCGCCCCCGUAUUGUGAUUUCAAAGUAUUUGUUGCAGUUUUGCAAAACAUACUCCUGCAUGGUGCUUUGGAUCUUUUUUUUUCUUUUGAGUGGUUUCAGAAUUAUGAAUGGCACUGAGAGUGAAACUGGCCUGACUUUCCCCAGAGCUUUAUUACAAGCAAUUCAGAAACAAAGCUCUCUCUUCUUGAUGACUCUUGUCUAACUGGGCAGAAGGUUCACUCAUCAUUCUGUGACAGUUCUCAUCUGCCAAUAAACUUGUUGGGACAGAAACCCAGCCCAAAGUGGUUUCUGAAUUUUCAGUUUUAGUUAACCAAGACUGUCCUAAACAUUUUAUUCAAAUUUAAAACCAACUGAAAAAGUCUCAGGAACUUGCUUGAUAGAGUAAUCCAAAUAAUAACUACAUUUUAUUUAUUUUUUAAUCAAAAGGAAGUUAUUGAAAUAAAAGCAGAGGUGGAAUGAUUAAGUACUCUAUGCAACAGCAGCCUUGGAGAAGCCAUAAACUAAGAGAUACACUCUAAAGAGUAUCACGAUGUGACCCUGAAAGAGAAAAUUUUCAGCAAGAGAGCCCCAGUGUAUGAAGAAAUUCUGACCAGUUCCUGUACAACAUCUUCUGUACUCUCAUUUCUUUGAAAGGUGGUAGCAAGAUGCAUUUGACAUCACCUCUUUCUAUACGCAUUGGAAUUUGGCUAUAUUUGUUGCAGUAUUUGUUCAUGGAAUGGUGCUGAAUCUUCAUAUGCACACACCUCAUCCUCUGCUAGGGUCAAGAGACUUUGAAACUGGCACCAACUUGCAGUAAUAUUUCUAAUGGGAUAAUGUGCAAGGACAAUGGGACAUAAGUCUUGAAAAAUUAGCCCUCAGUUAAUAUGGUGAUGUAUCCAUAAGGUUAGCUAACUAAAAACUCUAUGAAUGCACACUGUUGUUCUUAUCCAACAAGGGAGAUCCAUGUUUGGAGAACAGACUUCCACUCAAGCAGCUAAUGUUCAGGCACAUUCCAAUUUUCUCCUGGACUUCAUUGAAGUGACUGGAUACAGAGCUUUUGUUACAGAUAGGGAUGAACAUAUACAACAGGAACCACUAGCCAGUUGUGUCACAGCUAGGAUAUAUAAACCAU